AUUGAACGCUGGCGGCAGGCCUAACACAUGCAAGUCGAACGGAUAGCGGACGGGUGAGUGAUGUCUGGGAACCUGCCUGAUGGAGGGGGAUGACGGCUGUAACCGGUGGCUACUGGCGCUUACCAUGGGUUGUGCCCUCAUGGGAUUAGCUAGUAGGUGGGGUAACGGCUCACCUAGGCGAAGAUCCCUAGCUGGUCUGAGAGGAUGACCAGCCACACUGGAACUGAGACACGGUCCAGACUCCUACGGGAGGCAGCAGUGGGGAAUAUUGCACAAUGGGCGCAAGCCUGAUGCAGCCACGCCGCGUGUAUGAAGAAGGCUUUCGGGUUGUAAAGUACUUUCAUUGGGGAGGCGGUACCCGCAGAAGAAGCACCGGCUAACUCCGUGCCAGCAGCCGCGGUAAUAC
rnacentral:rRNA from 1 species